AGGACUAACGCUGGCGGCGUGCCUAACACAUGCAAGUCGAACGAGGUAGCAAUACCUAGUGGCAGACGGGUGAGUAACGCGUGGUCAACCUACCUCUUAGUGGGGGAUAACUAGCCGAAAGGUUAGCUAAUACCGCAUACGAUCGUCGCGAGGCAUCUCGUGACGAUGAAAGGAGCAAUUCGCUAAGAGAGGGGACUGCGUCCCAUUAGUUAGUUGGUGGGGUAAUGGCCCACCAAGACUCCGAUGGGUAGCUGGCUUGAGAGAGCGACCAGCCACACUGGAACUGAGACACGGGUCCAGACUCCUACGGGAGGCAGCAGUGAGGAAUUUUCCGCAAUGGGCGCAAGCCUGACGGAGCGACGCCGCGUGUGGGAAGAGGCCUUCGGGUCGUAACCACUGUCGAAGGGGACGAUAUUGACGGUACCCUUGGAGGAAGCCCCGGCUAACUACGUGCCAGCAGCCGC
rnacentral:rRNA from 1 species